rnacentral:rRNA from 1 species
UUAGAAACCCGCGCCCCGAGUGGUGGUCGAUAUUAUUGAGCCUAAAACGUCCGUAGCCGGUCUUCUAAAUCCUUGGGUAAAUCGGGCAGCUUAACUGUCCGAAGUCCGGGGAGACUGGGAGACUUGGGACCGGGAGAGGUCAGAGGUACUUCUGGGGUAGGGGUAAAAUCCUGUAAUCCUGGAAGGACCACCGGUGGCGAAGGCGUCUGACUAGAACGGAUCCGACGGUGAGGGACGAAGCCCUGGGGCGCAAACGGG